AGUGACGGCCGGGUGAGUACUAUCUGGGCAACUGCCUGAUGGAGGGGGAUCACUACUGGCAACGGUAGCUAAUAACGCAUACCCUCAGAUGUGCCCAGAUGGGAUUAGCUCGUUGGUGGGGUAACGUCUCACCACGGCGACGAUCCCUACCUGGUCUGAGAGGAUGACCAGCCACUCUGGAACUGAGACAAGGUCCAGACUUCUACGGGUGGUAGUAGGGGGGAAUAGUGCAUAAUGGGGGAAAGUCUGAUGCAGCCAUGCCGCGUGUAUGAAGAAGGCUUUCGGGUUGUAAAGUACUUUCAUAGGGGAGGCGUUCCCCGCAGAAGAAGUACCGGCUAACUCUGUGCCAGAAGCCGUGUUAAUUC
rnacentral:rRNA from 1 species